rnacentral:lncRNA from 1 species
CUCAGGUGGUGGUCAUUCAGUGUACUAUUAUGGGGAUUGAUUGCACUCUGGCUUUCACUCAUGCUUCUUGUAACUAUGUUGAGCGUCGCCAGCUUUGGUUAGAUAUGAUUCCUUUUAUUGUGGGUCAUUUCCUUAUAAUUGGGGAUUUUAAUGCUAUCUUAGGGGCCCAUGAGCGGAGGGGAAGACGUGUCCCUGCUUCUACCCCUUGUACUGAGUUCAGGGCCUUCAUUGAUGAACAUAACUUGAUCCAGCCGGACUCUUCGGGUCCGUUUUUCACAUGGACUGACCGUCGGAGAUUUCCUUCCCCGAUUGAAUCGGUCCUGGACCGUGC